UCGGACACUCUUUCGCUCAGCUUUCGACAUGGUUCUGAACAAUACGCAUUGCAUAUGUUGUUGAGAUCAUUAGUUGAAAGCCGAAUGAUUUGAGAUAUCCA
rnacentral:pre_miRNA from 13 species